CCAUACUAAGAGAGGGGAGGGAACGUGGUAAGGUCCAAGUAAUCCCGUAUGAUUUCUUAGCUAUAGUAAGCAUUUCAAUUCAAAGAAGGAAUCACUAAGCACAGAUUUCUUCUAAAGUUCCUAGGGGUUUCUCUCACAGCUAAACAUUCUGGCUUUGUUGUAAGUGCUUUCCCGAAGGAAUCACUAAGCUCAUCUUUCUGUGCUGAUUCCCAAAGAGAUCUAUUUAUUAGGGAACAACAACUGAAACUUAUGUCUACAAGAAACCUUGUGUGCUUGCUGAACUCAUUAACUUGCUUAGUUCGGGAAGACAGACUUCCAUUAACUUGUUUAGUUACCUCCCGGGGAAGACUUCCUUCUUUAACGUCAGAAGUGUCUCGCCAGUUCCCGUUGACAACUCUUCCUUCUGAUCCCAAGGAAUGCGCGUCUGGUGG